rnacentral:sRNA from 1 species
CAUUGACGCCUCCCCAAAGGCGUUUCCUCCCAAGACUUGCCCCGUCUCCGGUUUACCGGGGCGGGGCCUUUUUCUUUUAAAG